AAGUGAGGAAGAAUCACAGGAUGUAACGUUAAUGGUGUUGAAAGAAAAACAAGGAGAAAGUAAAGAACUGACUGAAGAAUUUUGUUUAUUGCUGCUCAUGAAUUUAUAGUUUAUUCAAAACAUUUUGUUCAAAAUAUUUUAUUUUGUUUAUAGUUUGUUUUGAUUUUGAUGUUAAUGCAGCUAAAUUCCUUAAAUUAAGUUUUUUAUGAGUAAAAAGUAGAAUUUGUUGUCAUAUAUAUGCAGAUGGAAUAUGAUGCAGAUUUGGUUUGAGUAGAAACGGCUUUGGUUCAAAUAAAUGAAUGUUGAUCAGAGAGAGGUGAUCACACAACACAGAGAACUCCUACAUUCAUGUGUAAUACAGAGGAGUCAGAGAGCAGAGGAGGAAACAGACUAACAUCCUCAGCUGCCUUCAGAUCAGACAGAAAACAGCUGAUCAACAUGUUAAUAAGACAUUCAUACAACACUGCACGCACAAUAGUUUCCAUCAGAAACAAGUAGUGAACACAACACUGACAUAUCAUCAGCUUUUAAUUUGAUAUAUUGAACUUGUUAGCAAACAGUUGCUUAUUUGUUUAGGCAGCAAGCAACAAGUAUAUUAAUUAGUAAUGUAUUUGUUGCUUGUAAGGUGGAUGUGACUGAGCUGCUCAGGAGAACUGCAGGGUGUGAUGCCGUCGUCCUGGAUAAGUUUACAGUUCAGUCCAAUGGAAACCAGCGACCAGAGGAGGUCCGUCAGGACCUUCAGGACCUUCUCUGCAGGCCCGACCAUUUAUGAGAGUUACUAUCAUAACCAUAAACCCAGUAUCUGGAGCUAGAACUGGAUGUGUCUGCCUCACG